AUAUCAAUAAGCGGAGGAAAAGAAACCAACAGGGAUUGCCUCAUGUAACGGCGAGUGAAGCGGCAACAGCUCAAAUUUGAAAUCUGGCCUCUUCGGGGUCCGAGUUGUAAUUUGUAGAGGGUGUUUCGGGUGAGGCGCCGGCCUAAGUUCCUUGGAACAGGACGUCAUAGAGGGUGAGAAUCCCGUAUGCGGCCGGCGAUCAAGUCCAUGUGAAACCCCUUCGACGAGUCGAGUUGUUUGGGAAUGCAGCUCAAAAUGGGUGGUAAAUUUCAUCUAAAGCUAAAUACUGGCGGGAGACCGAUAGCGCACAAGUAGAGUGAUCGAAAGAUGAAAAGCACUUUGGAAAGAGAGUCAAACAGUAC
rnacentral:rRNA from 1 species